rnacentral:rRNA from 16 species
ACUGAUGUAUUCAACGACUAUAUAGCCUUGGCCUACAGGCCCGUGUAAUCUCGGGAAAUUUCAUCAUGGUGGGGAUAGAUCAUUGCAAUUGUUGGUCUUCAAC